UACGAAGGGGGCUAGCGUUGUUCGGAAUUACUGGGCGUAAAGCGCACGUAGGCGGGUUGUUAAGUCAGGGGUGAAAUCCCGGAGCUCAACUCCGGAACUGCCUUUGAUACUGGCAAUCUAGAGACUGGAAGAGGUUAGUGGAAUUCCCAGUGUAGAGGUGAAAUUCGUAGAUAUUCGCAAGAACACCAGUGGCGAAGGCGGCUCACUGGCCCGAUACUGACGCUGAGGCACGAAAGCGUGGGGAGCGAACAGG
rnacentral:rRNA from 1 species